rnacentral:rRNA from 1 species
GCUUGUCUCAAAGAUUAAGCCAUGCAUGUCUAAGUAUAAGCGAUUUAACUGUGAGACUGCGAAUGGCUCAUUAUAUCAGUCAUAGUUCAUUUGAGAGUCCCUUACUACUUGGAUAACCGUAGUAAUUCUAGAGCUAAUACAUGCAUCAAGCCCCAACUGCUUGUCGGACGGGGUGCACCUAUUAGAUGGAAACCAAUGCGGGGCAACCCGGUAUUGUGGUGAAUCAUAAUAGUUAAGCGGAUCGCAUGGCCUCGUGCCGGCGACGACUCAUUCAAGUUUCUGCCCUAUCAGCUUUGGAUGGUAGGGUAUUGGCCUACCAUGGCUUUAACGGGUAACGGAGAAUUGGGGUUCGGUUCCGGAGAGGGAGCCUGAGAAACGGCUACCACAUCCAAGGAAGGCAGCAGG